rnacentral:lncRNA from 1 species
CCCAGUUCAGCCAGAGGGGGUCAAGAUCUGAAAUCUGCCUCACUUUUAACCUAUAUUUAAAAUCAGUGUAGUUUGACUUGUGCUCACAGGCACAUGCAUAAAAUCACUUCUGUGACGCCCCCAAAUUCGGGUACUUGAAACCCUUAUUCAGUGCUCACGAUAUAAAACAUUCAGAAUAUAAUAAACAUAAUCUUAGUAAAGUUAUUACAUCAAAGUUCUUCAAAUCCCAGGUACGUAGACCUUUAAAUGUUCAUUUCAUGAAUUUAAUAUUUACAAACAUGUAAAUUAUCUAUUACAUCAACUUCCAGCUAUUCUAUUACUUUUCUUUUUCCCUUGUCCUUUCCAGACCCUUCUGCACGAGCCUGCUCAGCUGAAAACAUUUUUAACAAAGCAAGUAUGAGCAUUUAAUUGCUCAGCAAGUAAUAGCAUUCUUUAAGGCUCAACAAGAAAUAAAUGUUUUCUUUGAAGCAUGCUUUGACAGUGAAUCAAAACUGUAAAGCAAUAAAUCUUGAACCAUUCACAGUUCUAAAAUAUCAUAACAACAUUGAAUAACUGAGAGGUUUUAAGACCAUGAACAUAUUUUUCUUUUCUUGAAAAGUUCAAUCAGAAAUUUUAUCAGAUGAACCGUCUUAACUUACUAGCACGUAAGGUGAUCAGCCCUUUAUGCCCUGUAUUGAUCAAUACUAUCUUUUCCAGAACAAUUUUCAUGUUCUACAUCACCACUCCCAGAGUGCAAUAAAAAUAUCUCAUUUAAGGGUAUGUUCAUCCUCAGUUUUAGAUUCCAACUACAACAAUAUAGCUGGACAGCUUAAAUCAUGGCACAAUAAUAUUUCAAGACUUAAUAUAAAGAAAUUGAAAUAUUUCAUAGCUUUGUGUGGCCAGAAGGAAUGGCUCAGACUUCUUUGCAACCUGCUCAUGCAUAAGAUAAUAGCUUACCCAAUCUUUUGAAGCUGAUUGGAAUAAAAAGAUUAUUCAAUCUUACAAUAUUCAUAAAUAAUGAAAGAUAGUUCAGAAAUUAGAGAACAUGUCAACAUAUGAAUAAUCUCAAAAUACUUGCUCAAUAAAGAGUAAGAUUUAGAUACUUGCCUUGAUCGUAGACUAUUGAUACAAUUUUAGCUUACUUUGUUCUCACAUAUCCUACACAAUUAUUUGCAUUCACAAACAUAUUAGCCAAUUAGCCAAGUCAUAUAACUUGCAUAUUCACAUAUCACAUAGUCACGGUGAUCAUGUUUUUAGUUUAUACUCCCAUACUUGAGAUAUUUCUUUACAUUUUUCAAAUAUCUCAUCCAUGUUCUUAUAACAACCAUUUCUUUCUUUUAUAGGGUUUAACAUAAUUUAUGUUCAUGAACUUUUCAUGAUUUUAGUUCAUACUCCUUUUACUUCUUUUGGUUUGCCAUAAAUAUAGCAAUCUUCUUUAUAACUUAGGUAUUCAAGGUGAAUACGUAAGGUAUUUCAUAUAUUAAGUAUAAUUGUUUAUCAUAAAGGUAAAACUUUAGUUUCCAAUUUGCUUUGAUUCUCUCUAUCUUUACUUUUCUUGUCUUAUAGAUUCAUUCGUAACAACUAGUGUGCUAGGGCUAUCAUGAUUUAAGACUAUAUCAAAAUAGUCUCUUUCUAUGAUCCUUUAUGUUUUGAGAUAUUCACAACUUGGUUGAGUAAUUUAUAGUUCUCAUAACACUUUGUAACUUUAUCUUUAUAUACAAAAGUGUAACUUUCUUGUUUUUCUUCUCCAUGCAUCUUGACCCACUGUGUGGCAAUCAAGCUUUGCUUGGCCUUGUGGGGCUUAGUCAAGCUUGGGAUGGCCAUAUUUGGCCUUAUUGCCCCAAUUACAUCAUAGCAGUCCCUAGCAUACAAUGUCUCUUCAUAUAAUUUUUUUUUCUUUUACAUUACCUGACUAAUUGAGUUUUCAUUAUAUGCAUGUGUAUUUAGGAGGUUCUAAAUCCAACUCCGUGAUUUUAUCUUCAACUUACAUUAUAGGGUUAGUAGGAUACUCCCAAAACUGCUAUGACAGUUUGUUACUAUCAGUUGCUACUGCCUAAAGGCAGCAGCUCCUGCUUUUUAUCCUUUAUGCUAACAACCAUAUAUAUAUGACUUUAUGGAGUUCAAUUGGUUUAUUGUGGCUUUAGUUGACUCAGCUCCAACUGAGUUUAUCCAGCUUUAUACUACAUUAGUAGUUAGCUAAAGCUAUUUACUAGUGCUAACUGACAGCAUCCCUUACCCCUCCUUUGAACAAAAUUUAAUCUCGAGACAGCUAACAAGUUGGAGUGACAUAUAAAUUAUACAAACUCACAAUAUUUGUUAACUUAAGACAAAUUUCAAGAGAUACCUAGCUACUUACUGCUGUUGGUAACAGCGACUGCCAUUGGGCAGUAGCUUAUUCUCUUGAUCCCAAACUUUCUACACUUUAGUUAUCUUCACUUACUAACUGUAGCCAAAAUAAAUCAAACCCAGUUGUCAAAUUGGUCCUGCAGCUACUUGUUAUUGCCAAAAGACAGCAGUUGCUGUUUGUUGCUGGUACGGACUACUAUAGCUGCCAUUUACUGCUACUUGCUGCUAUCUUUAGGUAGCAGUCCUUGCUCCUUAUUUGUGUAAUUUUAGACCCCAAUUUACUAAUGACUCUUGACAUGCUAUAAGUGAUGGAACCAAACUGGUUUGUUUGAGUCUGCACUAGCAGCUACCUGUGGCUACCUGUUGCUGCAAUUUAGUAGCUGCCCCUUAACCCAUGCCCAGCAAUCCCUUAGCCUCCCCUUUGCCAGAUUUUUAACCAUAGAUCUCCAAGUUACUUAUUCUCUCACUCUAGAAUUUUAAAGCUAUCUAAGUGGCUUAUCAAAAGUGGUACUAAACUUGAAUCCAUUGCUUAACCAUUGCCCAACACAGAGGCCCAAAGGACUUGACAUGAUAAAGUUUCCAACUGCUAGACUUAGCCUAAAAACAACUGCACUGUGUUUAAGUUUAAUAUGCUAAAACACUUUACUUAAAAUCAAAUGAACUACAACAAUCAAUCCCCAGCCUUGUAUUUGCCUAAUAACUGACUUUUAUUCAAAACAGUCCACUUGGGACUUUUGUCAAACAUGUGGGGUGCACAGUUUCAAUUUACCCUUUUCAUGGCCAUUGGUUUAUAUCAUAAACCUAUAUUUAUCCUCCUUAUUACUCCACAGCCCAACCUAUCUCCUCUAGCUAUAUAUCAAACAAUAGCAGUCCAAAACAUAGACAAAGCAUGAAGAUUCAAGCAAUUAGUAAAGUAACAAUUUUUUUUUUACAACUAACUGUUCUAUUCUAAUGCUCAAUGCCCCAUCCUGCUUGAACAAUUAGAACAACAAUAAGCAACUAGUUGGUUUAUAUACUUUCUGAUUUUAACUCAUGCCAUACAACAUAAUUUCUAUAUAUAUCAUAGUUAGCCAUUAUCUCACAGUUUUCAUUUCAGUUUGCGAAACCCCACUAACUAACUCAUUAUACCAAAAUCUUUAUAUUACAAACAUAAUAUAAAUAAAUUGUAAUACCUUUGUUUGCUUUGAAUUCUUGUUAACUGUUGAUCCUAAACUUCACAGCCCAACGAAUAUCAGAGCUUCAAUUGCUAAUCAUUUCCUUCUGCUAACCGAGCAAAAAUAUUGGGGAUUGUAAUGAAACAACUCAGUUGUGUUUGGGCAGAGAGGUGUCCAGGUAAUGGAUUUGGCAAGGAGCAGAAUCAGAUGGAAGGAAAGAGAAAAAAUAGAGAGACCAUUUGAAAUCCUUGCCUUAAGAUGUAUUACUUCUAAUUCAUCACUGCAUAGCUUAACUAAGUAGGCUAGUCUACUAGAAUAAAGGACUUCCUGCUCCUACUUCACUCCUCAAUGCUUUAGCCAGCUCAUGCUUCUCUUCUCUGAGUGCUACAGCUCAUGCUAAAUUUUUUUUUUAAAUUGUUUUAUCUGUUAAGCUUUAAUUUAAGGCUGUGUUUGGCAAGAAUAAACAAUUAC